GAUGAACGCUGGCGGCGUGCCUAAUACAUGCAAGUCGAACGCUGGAAAUCUAGCUUGCUAGAUUGAAGGAGUGGCGAACGGGUGAGUAAUACAUAAGCAACCUACCCACGAAGACUGGGAUAAUCUCUGGAAACGGGGACUAAUACCGGAUAGGUAAUCGGAAGGCAUCUUCUGAUUAUUAAAGGUUACAAACACUGGUGGAUGGGCUUAUGGCGCAUUAGUUAGUUGGUGAGGUAACGGCCCACCAAGACGAUGAUGCGUAGCCGGCCUGAGAGGGUGAACGGCCACAUUGGGACUGAGACACGGCCCAGACUCCUACGGGAGGCAGCAGUAGGGAAUUUUCGGCAAUGGGGGAAACCCUGACCGAGCAACGCCGCGUGAGUGAUGACGGCCUUCGGGUUGUAAAGCUCUGUUGUAAGGGAAGAACGGUAGAUAGAGAAUAUCUAAAUGACGGUACCUUACCAGAAAGCCACGGCUAACUACGUG
rnacentral:rRNA from 1 species